CACUUCCUGUUUAUGUUUUAUGACGGGUCGUAAACAUAGUAUAAAAAGGGGGCGACGGCUGCUGUAGGGUCCCCGCAUUCAUCAAGUUGUCUGCAGUGUUCUUUUCAAUCAACAUGGACUGCUCAUCAGAAGAAACCCGUAGAUCAGAUAGUGCUAUUUGGUUGUAUAGGGGCCCUCGUACCCCUACACCAUUGUCUUCUCCCGCCAUGGACGACUCUGCGUCGAGCAAUGAGGACAUUGAAAACCAGAUGCCUGAUGGUAUGUCCGUCUUUAGUACGCCUGUGUCUAACUAUGUCAAUAGUUGUGGAGAUGCGGUACUGCUUAAUGCUCCACUCAAAAGAACGAGGCCUGUUUUAGGCUUGAGAGACCGGAGGGCCGGGGAUUCAUUCACCCACGUUGGCGAAUACGGCUUGGAGUAUGUAAUAUCAUGGGUCGAUGGCUGUGUUAUUUUGAAUGUUAAAGAUUGUGCUACAGAGUGGCGGUUGAACGUUCACGAAUGGAAUUUUUUCUUGGAGAAUUUAUGCCCCAUGCUAGACGGCGUCCGGGGUACAUGGCAGGCGGGAACCCAUGUAUUCCAAUGGACCUUUCAGUAUGAAUCGAGGAUUCAUCGCAUGGAUGCAAACUAUCAUACGAAGAGACCACAGGAGUUCAUUUUUUUCAGACGCUGUGUUGAUACAGACGAACUACCACAGUGCUAUGAUAUGCACUGCGUCGGUAGCUCUCCUCUACGCACCAGUGUUUUAGAAGCUGCUGAUUAUUUUGAUAAUGUCUUUUUCAUGCAGUGGGCUGAUUUGUCUGCACUACGUGGAAUUUUUGCAGAGAUUGAUUCUAUGGCUAAGACGAAUGAAGAACCAUGGAGCACAGCUGAUGAUGAAUGCCGAAUGUGCCUGUUUGAGUCGUCUGGGUUUGAUGAUGGGCACAGGUCAAUGAUGAACAUGUGCAAGGUGGGGGUGUGGCUAUGGAGACUGCUGAUUUAAAGGCUGUACAACCCGGACCCCACUGGCUUCAAGAGUAUGCCAUCUAUCUGACCGGAUUGAAUCUGACCUUCCUACACGUCGGAGAGGACAGUGAGCUGGAGGUGGACACUGCUAUGAGAGACGACGGAUGGCCUGUAUCAAUACAGAUCCGUUUAAACCCUGCAUCGCUGGCUGUUCUGCGAUUUACCACGGGGCUCUGUGUGGUGGCCAUCAUCAACCAUCAGAAGCAAGCGGACUGCUGGGGAUGCCAGUGUGAUUGCCCAAGUCAACGACGCCAUUCAUGCCUUCAGGGAGCGACACAUCAUCACUACGAAUCCCACUACCAUGACAUUUGUGUCAUCCUGGACAGACACCCCUUCCUGUUACUUUUAGAAACUGUUCUAAAGAAGACUACAGGGUUGACUGUGUCCCCCGGAAAAAUCUAUGGUGUGGUCGAAUCUUAUCUAUGUGAUUUAAUAUGCAAUACCUAUAAUACCGAAAAACUGGAUUUAAUGACCACCGAAGGUGUGUCCGAUGAACAUCUGCUUCUGAUACAUGAAGCCAUACAAAUGUGGCGUCCUACAUUGUCAUUAGGCAAACCAAAGCCUGCUGGUGGGUGGCGUUUAUAAUGGGGGUGUUUUCUUAUGCGUAUGAUGUGGAUAGCAAGUAUGUAUCAGAUAGACUAUCCGUUUUGAUGUAUGCUGCCAUAGAAAAUGAUACAUAUGUCCAGCAUAAUGCUUAUAUCAAAUGCACGUAUAUGGGUUGGAAUGAUCUGGUCAUGAAAUUCUUGUGUGAUAAACCUACUGAUCAAAUGUUAGCUGAAAUAUUUACCCAUUUCCCCGAUGGCGACUGUUUUACCAUCGGACAUGUCAUGUGUAUAUGUGCUUUUGUAUCGGAUGUCUUGAAGUUGAAUAAUGCCUCAAACGCCGAGGGUAUUAGAACUGCUAGAAUGAUGGCUUGUAAAAUGGUGCAGAAAAAUAAAACUGCAUGUAGGCUUUAUCUGAGAAUUGUUUUGAGUGGACAGACAUUUUAAAUAAAAGGAUGGAUAACUCUGAUCAGUGUUUCAGUAUUCGUUUUUUGUCGCAUGCAUACGACAUGGAUAAACGGCUGCAUAAGACUUAUUAUGAUCCCUCCGGACCAGGGGGUUACGGC
rnacentral:lncRNA from 1 species